AUGGCAAACAACAUGGAACAGUUUAAGGUCGUCGUCGACAAGGGCAUCCCAGAUCAAUCGCGAUACAUGGAGGAGAUGGCCACCGUAUUUAGGUUGGGCAUGGAUUGCACCGUCGAAGAUCCACAACAAAGGCCAUCCAUGCAGAUGGCUCUCAAACGAUUGCGUCGUGGUCGUGGGCAUGGUCGAUUUGGUGGUCUUCUCACAUGCUAUAGCUUAUAA
rnacentral:rRNA from 1 species